UCGGAUCGCAGGCUGCAACCCGCCUGCGUGAAGUUGGAAUCGCUAGUAAUCGCGGAUCAGCAUGCCGCGGUGAAUACGUUCCCGGGCCUUGUACACACCGCCCGUCACACCAUGAGAGUCGGGAACACCCGAGGUCCGUAGCCUAACCGCAAGGGGGGCGCGGCCGAAGGUGGGUUCGAUAAUUGGGGUGAAGUCGUAACAAGGUACC
rnacentral:rRNA from 1 species